rnacentral:rRNA from 1 species
GACGAACGCUGGCGGCGUGCUUAACACAUGCAAGUCGAACGGAAAGGCCCUGCUUGCAGGGUACUCGAGUGGCGAACGGGUGAGUAACACGUGGGUGAUCUGCCCUGCACUUCGGGAUAAGCCUGGGAAACUGGGUCUAAUACCGGAUAGGAGCCAUUUUUAGUGUGAUGGUUGGAAAGUUUUUUUCGGUGUAGGAUGAGCUCGCGGCCUAUCAGCUUGUUGGUGGGGUAAUGGCCUACCAAGGCGGCGACGGGUAGCCGGCCUGAGAGGGUGGACGGCCACAUUGGGACUGAGAUACGGCCCAGACUCCUACGGGAUGCAGCAGUGGGGAAUAUUGCACAAUGGGCGCAAGCCUGAUGCAGCGACGCCGCGUGGGGGAUGACGGCCUUCGGGUUGUAAACUCCUUUCGCUAGGGACGAAGCUUUUUGUGACGGUACCUAGAUAAGAAGCACCGGCUAACUACGUG